rnacentral:rRNA from 1 species
AAAACAUGCCUACGGGAGGCAGCAGUAGGGAAUAUUGGUCAAUGGACGAAAGUCUGAACCAGCCAUGCCGCGUGCAGGAUGACGGCCCUCUGGGUUGUAAACUGCUUUUGUCAGGGAAGAAUAAGCUUAACGUGUUAAGUGAUGACGGUACCUGAAGAAUAAGGAUCGGCUAACUCCGUGCCAGCAGCCGCGGUAAUACGGAGGAUCCAAGCGUUGUCCGGAUUUAUUGGGUUUAAAGGGUGCGUAGGCGGAUAUGCAAGUCAGAGGUGAAAGCUAGCAGCUUAACUGUUAAAUUGCCUUUGAAACUGCAUAUCUUGAGUAUAGUUGAGGUGGGCGGAAU